AGCCACUGCGCCUGACGCCUCUAGCUUCUUCUACCUUUGCCCUCCCAUUGAACAUUGGGUCUUUUCCCAAGUUCUCCCCUUGGGCCUGAUCUCAUCUCCGUAACUUUACAUUCUGUCCAUUAGCUAAUGACAUAACAACCCAGCCUUUCUCCUGAGCUCCACUAUUUCCAGCUACUUACUGAACAUCUCCACUUGGAUGUCUCCCAGACAUCUCAUUCACCAAAUUUGACACUUAAUUCAUUACCAUCUUCAACCCAAAACCUAUUCCUUAAGUUCUUCCACAAUCAUGUCCCACCCCCAUCCCUGAUUUCCUAAGACAAAAACCUGGAAGAAUUCCACUCUCCCCUUUGCCUAUUACACUCCCAGAAACUCUAGCAAUAUUUCAGUUCCUCAAAUACACCAACCUCUUUUUUGCCUCAGAGCCUUUGAUCUUACUAUUCCUUCUACCUAGAAUGAUCUUCCCCUUGCUCAAUGCACGGAUGGCUCUUUCUCAUCUUCAAGUCUCAGCUAAAAUGCCACCUCAUUAUUAGACACCUUCUCUGUCUACCUAUCUAAAGUAGGAUGGCCUCUACUCCAACCCAGCCACAAUUACUUCAAUGCAUCACCUUCUUUUACUUCUCACAGUUUGUGUUUACUUGUUUAUUGUCUGUUCUUUUCCACUGGAAUGCAAGCUCCGUGAGAAUAGGAUUUAUAUCCAUGUUUUCCAUGCUAUACUGCCAGAGCCUAGAACAGUGUCAGGUGCAUGGUGGGUACACUAUAUUUAUUGACUGGAUGAAUGAAUCCUAUAUGCCUCCUUAUUCCUUGUCUGCCAAUAAUAGUCAGUCACCAAAUGCAGUUGAGUCUACCUCCUAAACAUCUCCCAAAUCUAGCCCAUAUUCUCCAACCCAGUCAUUGCUUUAAUUGAAGCACUCAUCACCUCUCACCUUAUAGUCUUAUAACAGGUGCUUUUUCCCCAAGCCUGGCUCCUUCCCUAAUACAUUCACUACAUUAAAUAUAUACAUACUCUGAAA
rnacentral:lncRNA from 10 species